GCCUAUCUAAUACAAACAAGUAUACUUGACUUCCAAUCAAGAAAUUUGCACAAGCAAGAUAGACA
rnacentral:tRNA from 1 species